AGCGCAGGCGGACCGGCAAGUUGGAAGUGAAAAUUAUGGGCCCAACCCAUAAAUUGCUUUCAAAACUGCUGGCCUUGAGUAGUGCAGAGGUAGGUGGAAUUCCCGGUGUAGCGGUGGAAUGCGUAGAUAUCGGGAGGAACACCAGUGGCGAAGGCGACCUACUGGGCACCAACUGACGCUGAGGCUCGAAAGCAUGGGUAGCAAACA
rnacentral:rRNA from 1 species